UCGCUGACGAGUGGCGGACGGGUGAGUAAUGUCUGGGAAACUGCCUGAUGGAGGGGGAUAACUACUGGAAACGGUAGCUAAUACCGCAUAACGUCGCAAGACCAAAGAGGGGGACCUUCGGGCCUCUUGCCAUCGGAUGUGCCCAGAUGGGAUUAGCUAGUAGGUGGGGUAACGGCUCACCUAGGCGACGAUCCCUAGCUGGUCUGAAAGGAUGACCAGCCACACUGGAACUGAGACACGGUCCAGACUCCUACGGGAGGCAGCAGUGGGGAAUAUUGCACAAUGGGCGCAAGCCUGAUGCAGCCAUGCCGCGUGUAUGAAGAAGGCCUUCGGGUUGUAAAGUACUUUCAGCGGGGAGGAAGGGAGUAAAGUUAAUACCUUUGCUCAUUGACGUUACCCGCACAAGAAGCACCGGCUAACUCCGUGCCACCAGCCGCGGUAAUACGGAGGGUGCAAGCGUUAAUCGGAAUUACUGGGCGUAAAGCGCACGCAGGCGGUUUGUUAAGUCANAUGUGAAAUCCCCGGGCUCAACCUGGGAACUGCAUCUGAUACUGGCAAGCUUGAGUCUCGUAGAGGGGGGUAGAAUUCCAGGUGUAGCGGUGAAUGCGUGGAGAUCUGGAGGAAUACCGGUGGUGAAGGA
rnacentral:rRNA from 1 species